UAGUCCACGCCGUAAACGAUGGUUACUAGCUGUUCGAUCUUCGGAUUGAGUGGCUAAGCGGAAGUGAUAAGUAACCCACCUGGGGAGUACGUUCGCAAGAAUGAAACUCAAAGGAAUUGACGGGGGCCCGCACAAGCGGUGGAGCAUGUGGUUUAAUUCGAUGAUACGCGAGGAACCUUACCAGGGCUUAAAUGUAUUGUGACAGGGGUGGAAACACUCUUUUCUUCGGACACAUUACAAGGUGCUGCAUGGUUGUCGUCAGCUCGUGCCGUGAGGUGUCAGGUUAAGUCCUAUAACGAGCGCAACCCCUGUUGUUAGCUGCCAUCGAGUAAUGUCGGGAACUCUAACAAGACUGCCGGUGCAAACCGUGAGGAAGGUGGGGAUGACGUCAAAUCAUCACGGGCCCUUACGUCCUGGGGCUACACACGUGCUACAAUGGCCGGUACAGAGGGGCAGGCCACUACGCGAGUAGGAGCGAAUCCUU
rnacentral:rRNA from 1 species